CCUGCCUACGGGGCGCAGCAGUGAGGAAUAUUGGUCAAUGGGCGGGAGCCUGAACCAGCCAAGCCGCGUGAAGGAAGAAGGCGCCAAGCGUCGUAAACUUCUUUUGUCGGGGAACAAAGGGCGCCACGUGUGGCGUUGUGAGUGUACCCGAAGAAAAAGCAUCGGCUAACUCCGUGCCAGCAGCCGCGGUAAUACGGAGGAUGCGAGCGUUAUCCGGAUUUAUUGGGCGUAAAGCGAGUGCAGGCGGUUCACUAAGUCUGAUGUGAAAGCCUUCG
rnacentral:rRNA from 1 species